UUUAAUAUACCUCCCGUCACCCGGGGAGGGUCCUAUCAACUGUGUUGUUUAGAGAAGAGAGAGGAGGGAAAUUCCGGGGUGGGGUGGUAUGUGGGUAGAGGUGAGAACCACCGGGGGGGGGGCCAGUCUCUUCGCAUAUAUGUCGCUGUGAGAUGAGAGCGCGGGGAGAACACAGGAUUUUAUACCCUCCUAUUCUCCACUCUGUAUGAGAUGUGCUCCAUGUGAGAGAGUUUCCGACUCUUACUGUUCAAGUAAUCACACUAUACGUUCUCCGCGGGGAGAAUGCCCGCACGAGGUUAAAUCUAAAAAAUUGAGAGGGGCGCCCGCACGCGCUGGGGCGCGUGUUGUUUUUUUAAACACCACGAACAAAACUACCCGUUCGCUAGAUAUUUUGAUGAUCUCAGAGGUAGCACUUUCCCUUUUGGGGACCAGAGCGACAGGUGGUGCAGGGUUUUCUUAAGUUCGUUUCGUGAGUUGUGGGUUAAAUUCCUGAAAGGAGCCAACCCCUUUCCUUUAUUUCCAACCUUUAAGUUGGGCAUUAUAAGGAGACUGCCGGUGACAAUCCGGAGGAAGUUGGGGAUGCCUUCAGUUCUUCUUGCCCCUUAGUCCCAGGGCUACACAGGUGCUCCAUUGGAUGGUACAAAGGGCGGAGAAGCCCCGAGGUGAACCCAUUCCCAUAAAACCAUUUUCAGUUGGGAUGGUAGUUUGCAAUUCGCUUCCAUGAAGUGGGAAUCGUUGGUAUUCGGGAUUCACCAUGCCGCGGUGAAUACGUUCCCGGGCCUUGUACACGCCGCCCGUCACACCACGAGAGUGAUUAACACCCGAAGUCGGUGGGGUAACCGCAAGGAGGCAGCCGCCGAAGGUGGGACCCGUGAUUGGGUUGAAGUCGUAACAAGGUAGCCGUCG
rnacentral:rRNA from 1 species